GAGCGGGGGCGGCGCGAGGUGUGUGUAUGGGCGCCUUUGGCGCCGAGGGGAGAAGGACGCCUCUGCCUGUUGCCCCGGCAACCAUACAACUUCCGGCCCCACUUCCUGGGGCGAUGAGCGGACUUCGCCAUUUUUCCUCUUCUGCCCUGCAGAUAGAGCGUCCUGCGGGGUGGAGUGCCAGCUUGGCGGUGGCAGUUUGUUCCUCGUGGGCCUAGGUCUCAUGGCGAGUGUCCGGAAGCCAGCGUCCACGUCCCGCAGCUCGGAUCCUGCGACGGUAGCGGGCCUGGCCCGCCGCUGCACGUGCUGAUCCGGGCGAGGACGCCACGCCGGCGCUUUGGAGGACGGCGCGGCCGCUGUGCCCGGUCACUGCGUCGGGUAGAGGUGGGGCCGCGCUCCCCCGGAACGACCCCUAGUUUCUACUCCACUCUUUUCUCUACAGUCAGGAGAACGUUGGGGCAUCUACAUGUGCGACAGGACCUGGGAGACAAUGUGAGGACACAAGGAGAAGACAAUCUGCAAUCCAGAUGGGGGCCCUCAGAGAACCAGCCAUUCUAGUUUCAGUCACCAGUCCCAGGACUGUGAGAAACCUGUUGUUUCUAACCCCCCCCCCUUACAGUACUUUGCAUUAGCAGCCUCAGUGGACCAGGAGGGAAUGAGAAACACCACAAGGAGAUGGUAAAAGAAUAAGUGGGUUAGGAAUGACCUAAGGCAGAAGGUGCAAACCUAGGAGAGAAGGGUGAAAACCAAGUGUUAUGGCCCAGCAACCAGGACCACCAUCCUCCCAAGAAACAGGAGGCUCAUUCAGCAGUGGCAGGGUGUCAGGGAUGACCAGAAGGCAAGGCCCACUCUAUUAUAAUUCUCAGGUACCACAUAGAGUAGAACAUUGCCUUACUCAUGAAUGUACAUAAAUAACAAGGAUCAACAAUCACUGGAGGAAGAGAAAAACCUAAAAGUAAUAAAAAAAUGCAAGGGGAAAAAUGUUAUAAAAUUCUUUAUAGUUGGCAAUCUCUGAAGAUAAUAUUACAAAUGAAAGAGAAGUCCAUCUAGAGAACAAGAAAGACCUCCCCAAAAUUAAAGAAGCAGUGAGUUAAUAGAAGACAGAUUCAACAACACUCUUAGAUGAUGGAGAAAGAGCACAAGAAGAUUAGAAGAUAAAUUCAAGGAGUCUGACAUGAAAAAUAGGAAUUACAUGAAAGGAGAAUAGAGAAAAUUAUGAGAAGGAAAUGAAGAAAUGACGCAAGAAAACUUUCCAGAUCUUGAAGACAUUUUCUCAUGGAAAGGAACCACCAAGGACCCAGCACAAAACUUAAUUGGAAAGGAUCCACACCAAGGUAUAUCAUUACAAAAUUUCAAAACAUCAGAGAAAAUUUAUUAAAGCUUCUGGAAGGGAAAAUAAAAAAGCUCACAUUUAAGGCAUACAAAAUUACAAUGGCAUGGAAAUUCCUUAUAGAAUCCCACUAUAGUGCAUACCUCUCAUCCCAGCUAUUGAGGAGGAUGAGGAAUGAUAUCUCAAGUUCCAGACCAGCCUGGGCAACUUAGAAAGACCCUGUCUCAAAAAACAAAAAGGUCUGGGGAUGUAGUUCAGUGAUAAAAGGCCCCUGGGUUCAAUCCCCAGUACCAAAUAAAGAAAAAUCCCAGAAAGCCAAACUAUGCUAGACCAUUAACUUUAAGAUUCUGAAGAAAAUAAUCCAUUAAAAUCUUAAAUUCUCAGCAGAAUAAAGACACUUUAAAGUAUGCAAGCUCAAAAACGUUGUCUAUCAAAUACCAUAACUCAGAAAGCUGAUGGAAGAUAUUCUAAGUCAAGAAGAAGAGUAUUGAGGGCCUAUAAAACAGAAGAGAAGGGGAAACCCAGGACAAGAGGUUGGAGAGUGUAGGCCUCCAGAAGAAACAUCUGCAGCAAAGAGUGAAGCUGUGAAGCACCUCAUGUGCUUGAGGUUUAAACAAGGUCUUCAGAGUUUGGCGAUGAUCAGUAAAAGCCAUACAAGAAAGCUGAUGAGCAAAAAGCUGGGCAAAAACUGAAACCAGCAAAAGUGGAGAUGUAACUGCAGCCUGUGCCUCAGCUGUGCAUGAUCAUCACGUGAUAAAAUAGAUUCUGAAUGGAGCAUUAAUGGACAAAGUACGGCCACAGCCAUUUUUAAGAAAGGGUGACCCUAACUGUGUAGUCGGGUUUUCAUUUAGGAAGUGAGGGUGCUAGAGCUAGGAUCCAGAAUCCACACAUUGGAAAUAAAGGCCUUAUAAGAAAGAUCUUUUCAAAAUCAGAGUAAAUUCCAAGUAAGUAGCUAAGAGAUAAAUGUGGUGGAAGGAAUUGGGAAUGGGAAUGUGUAGUGUGGGCAAAGACUAUUUUUGUCACAAAUUAAGCAGCACUAUUUGAAUUUUUAGAUGAGUAUACUUGUUAAAGGAAAAUUUUAAGUUUUAACAAGUACAAAUGGCACAAUUAA